GGCCUCACGGCCGUCGGCGUUGCUGGGAAGUUGACCAAACUUGAUCAUUUAGAGGAAGUAAAAGUCGUAACAAGGUUUCCGUAGGGGAACCUGCGGAAGGAUCGUUAACGUUUUC
rnacentral:rRNA from 1 species